AUUGAACGCUGGCGGCAGGCUUAACACAUGCAAGUCGAGCGAGCGGCGGACGGGUGAGUAAUGUAUGGGGACUGCCCGAUAGAGGGGGAUAACUACUGGAAACGGUAGCUAAUACCGCAUACUAUCGGAUAACCCAUAUGGGAUUAGCUAGUAGGUGGGGGAAAGGCUCACCUAGGCGACGAUCUCUAGAUGGUCUGAGAGGAUGAUCCGCCACACUGGGACUGAGACACGGCCCAGACUCCUACGGAGGCAGCAGUGGGGAAUAUUGCACAAUGGGCGCAAGCCUGAUGCAGCCAUGCCGCGUGUAUGAAGAAGGCCUUAGGGUUGUAAAGUUCUUUCAGUGGGGAGGCGUUACCUGCAGAAGAAGCACCGGCUAACUCCGUGCCAGCAGCCGCGGUAAUUC
rnacentral:rRNA from 1 species